rnacentral:rRNA from 1 species
GACGAACGCUGGCGGCGUGCUUAACACAUGCAAGUCGAACGGAAAGGCCCUUCGGGGUACUCGAGUGGCGAACGGGUGAGUAACACGUGGGUGAUCUGCCCUGCACUUUGGGAUAAGCCUGGGAAACUGGGUCUAAUACCGAAUAGGACCACGCGCUUCAUGGUGUGUGGUGGAAAGCUUUUGCGGUGUGGGAUGGGCCCGCGGCCUAUCAGCUUGUUGGUGGGGUAAUGGCCUACCAAGGCGACGACGGGUAGCCGGCCUGAGAGGGUGACCGGCCACACUGGGACUGCGAUACGGCCCAGACUCCUACGGGAGGCAGCAGUGGGGAAUAUUGCACAAUGGGCGCAAGCCUGAUGCAGCGACGCCGCGUGAGUGAUGACGGCCUUCGGGUUGUAAACCUCUUUCACCAGGGACGAAGCGUAAGUGACGGUACCUGGAGAAGAAGCCCCGGCCAACUACGUG